rnacentral:rRNA from 1 species
CCCUUAGAUGUUCUGGGCUGCACGCGCGCUACACUGACACACGCAACGAGUCUCCUGCCCUGACAGGGUCGGGUAAUCAUUUGAGUGUGUGUCGUGAUGGGGAUAGAGUAUUGCAAUUAUUGCUCUUGAACGAGGAAUUCCCAGUAAGUGCGAGUCAUCAGCUCGCGUUGAUUACGUCCCUGCCCUUUGUACACACCGCCCGUCGCUACUACCGAUUGGGAAAAUUUUAGAGAGUCCUGGACUGAUGAUUGUUCGGCUUCACGGCCUUACUUUCGUCGGGAAAGAAUUCGAUAAUAUUUUUCUAGAGGAAGUAAAAGUCGUAACA